AGAGGACUACUAAGCCAAGGAUGAAUUGCCGGCGAUGGAUCAGUAUAUAUCUGAUCUUAUUUUUAUGAUAUAAUAAUGUAUAGACAGCUUCUUCUUCUUUGUAGCCGGCAAUUCCAUUCUUGGCUAAGUGUGGCUUUCU
rnacentral:pre_miRNA from 2 species